rnacentral:rRNA from 1 species
GAUGAACGCUGACAGAAUGCUUAACACAUGCAAGUCUUUGGCGAAGCUGUGCUUGCACAGCCUAGCCAAGGCGGACGGGUGAGUAACGCGUAAGGAACUUGCCCUGCAGUCAGGGAUAACAGACGGAAAUUUUUUUUUUUUUCUGGUAAAGUCAGGCGGACUCAUGUCCAGCCUGAUGAAAAGAGAUGCUGCAGGAGAGCCUUGCGUCCUAUUAGCUUGUUGGUGGGGUAACGGCCCACCAAGGCGAUGAUAGGUAGCCGGCCUGAGAGGGUGGACGGCCACAAGGGGACUGAGAUACGGCCCUUACUCCUACGGGAGGCAGCAGUGGGGAAUAUUGGACAAUGGGGGCAACCCUGAUCCAGCAAUUCUGUGUGCACGAUGAAGGUUUUCGGAUUGUAAAGUGCUUUCAGCAGGGAAGAAAAAAAUGACGGUACCUGCAGAAGAAGCGACGGCUAAAUACGUG